rnacentral:rRNA from 1 species
UACGUAGGUCCCGAGCGUUAUCCGGAUUUAUUGGGCGUAAAGCGAGCGCAGGUGGUUUAUUAAGUCUGGUGUAAAAGGCAGUGGCUCAACCAUUGUAUGCAUUGGAAACUGGUAGACUUGAGUGCAGGAGAGGAGAGUGGAAUUCCAUGUGUAGCGGUGAAAUGCGUAGAUAUAUGGAGGAACACCGGUGGCGAAAGCGGCUCUCUGGCCUGUAACUGACACUGAGGCUCGAAAGCGUGGGGAGCAAACAGG